GUUCAAAGACUGUGAAGGAACUCCUGGAGCUAAGGUAAAGACCCUGAACCCUGAAAAAUUGAAGUCUGCUCAAGGUCACACAGCUAGACAUUUUCCCACUUAGGUGAAUAACGUCUACAAUGAUCUUAAUGGAAAAUCGAGACAUUAAUAUCUUGCU